AAUAAGUCCAUGCAGCGAAGGAAGUGAACAAUUGUGGGACCGUAUUUGGGCUGAAAAUGGGUGUGGUACGGAAACCCAGAAAUAGCAUGAGUUCAACAUAAAACAGGAAUUAGAAUUUUAGUGGGGGAUCAAGUCAAGUCUGGAAGUGUUACAGGAUGGAAGAGUGAGCCUACAGUUGAAAAACACUGAAAGUGCAUUACCAUUAAGGUAUAAGGUAAAGUAAUAGAGUAUGCACAUUGUCUAAUGAGAAGUACCAUCUUGUGUGAAUGAAUCCUGUGUAACAGCAAUCCUUUAUAGUUCUGUCACAGCUAGAAGCCUCAAAUAAUUUUGCUUCUCUUGCUAAAGAACAACUUGUCCUUUACGUUCAGAGUGUUGGUGAAGCUGGGUACUUAAAUGGCCCUAAAGAUGUUUCAUUGCGUUGGCAUUGCAGCGAUGAACAUCAUACAUGGACUCUUUAGGAAAUGAUUUUCAUGUACUAGGAACACAACUAUCAAAAAUGCAACAUUCUAGGGGUGCUAUUUUAUCAUUCAAGAGCCUUAUACAAUGAUUUUCAUCUGCAAUUUGUAUGGCCUUUCCCAAGCUUCUGCCAGAAGUUGAAUCUAUAAGUCAUGUAAGUCACAUGAGCAACAAUUGAGAUGCUUAAUGGUGUUGUUUUUCUUUUCUCAAUAUAGGUUAAUAGUAACAUUGGAUCUGAAAAGAUUCUUGGUUGGGGCAAGACACUGAAUAAAUUGUAUUGAUUGGAUGGAUGACAUGACAUUUCUAUACUUAAUUCGGAUUCCCCAGACGGUAUUUGAUAUUUAAAAAAUUGAAGUGCAUAUCUGGGCUCCCUUCUUUUCUGAAGCCCCGUUUCCCCUUGACUCGUAAUAAGCCCGUAGGGGGUCAUGCCCCUAC